CCUGAGUUUUUGCCAGACAAGUUUCUUGUGACCGGCAGUGUUCCCUGCUGAAUUCACAGCAUUUGUUGUCGUCCCACGAACAGGAUGUUAGUUCGUUCCAGGCGGGCUCGAACGAAUGAGACUAGCUUGUUCAGCAGGCAUGGCCCGAAGGUAACAGUUAAAAGCAGCAUUACCAAUGGGCCUGCCAGGGUAGAAAUUAGAGUGGUCAGCCAAGGUGAUUGGUUGAACCAGGACUCGAACCAACCCUGUUGGGCUUCCCUGUCUUUCUGUCUCUGAGCCAGUCUGUUUCGGAGUUCUGCCAUAGAGUCUCUAACGACUCCCGUGUGGUCCGCGUAGAAGCAGCAUUCCUCUUUCAAGGCGGCACACAGGCCUCCUUGCUGCAUGAGCAGGAGAUCCAGUCCUCGCCUGUUCUGCAGGACCACUUCUGAGAGUGAGGAGACUGAUUUCUCUAGGAAGGAAAUGGAUUUCUCGAUCCUCUGCAGGUCUUCGUCAAUGGUCAUCUGCAGCUGUGACAGUCCUUGGUGCUGAGUUGGUUGGGCCGAGACACCUGUCGCCGUUCCGGCUGCUCCUAGGCCGAGCAGCAUUGCGAUAGUUAUACCUGUUAAUAUUUCUCUUUUGUGGACUCGGCUGGGUUCCUCGAACAGGUGGUACACCUCUUCGUCUGAGUGGUACAGGACCCUAGGAACGAUCAGAACUUGGACACAAAAGUCGUUAGAGGUACUGAAUUUGGCAAGGAACACACAGGGACUCACUCCAGAUCUCUGGCAAACCCACAUCCCCGAUGCAGACGGGACUGCCCACUUAUUAUUUUUCUUGUUGGGCUGGACUGCUUCGGUACAGACGUCGCCCUUUCGCUUGGCUAGGGUUGCAUUACCAAAGCAUCUCCCCCGACCUGUAACUUGACUCAGGGUGAUUCCUUGGCGGGGGGUGUCCCACCUGCACUGGUGAGGGGCGUCGGCUGUGGAAUAGCUAAAGGGGAUGUCUAAGGCGAUUCCUUCGUAAAAGGGGGGUUUUAUAUCAUAACAAAGCCAGCAGGAGUCUGUUAGGUUAGGGUUAGAUUCGUUUAGGGAUAGGAAGGUGGCUUCUAACAUGCUUAGGAUUGGGUCCGAUUCUGACCUGGUCGAGCGACCUAUCUGGAAGGUUUCCAUGCCACCGGUCGGGACGUCGGUGACCUUUGUGGGCAAGGUCUUGGGAUAGGUUAUGUUUCUCCCUCUCUGUGUGCUUUUAAUCACUUUGUUGGGUCCAACCGCUCGGGGUGCUGACGGUUGGAGCCUGGUAAUUUGCACAUUCACCCACUGUUUUGACCCUUGAAGGACUGCUGUCCACACUUUGCCCAGAACUGAAGCCCUAUGACAUGGGGGUCCUGGCUGCCAUAAAGGCGGCAUGUCCCCCACACCUUCAGGGGCUCCUUCCCUAUAUUCAUGGCCAGGGCCACCCAGGGGUUCCUCUCUGGGACGUCCCCUGCUGGCCCUGUGGCACUUGCACAGCUUGUGAUGGCGGGGGGUGCGGGGAAACCGUAGGUGGUGCUGCACUGCUGUGCCACUGUAUCGCUGGUAGGGGUGCGAUGUUGGCUGCCUGCUGAGGGAGCAUAGGGUACGAGGGUUCCCCACCCCACUGAGGGUUGGCAUAGAUGGGCCGUCUCGUAUUCACAGCGGGAGGAGACUGAAUAUGGCCCGCGCGCCCCCUCCCUUUCCCGUUUCCCCGGGGCCGAGAUCUGCAGUCCCUAGCGAGGUGACCUCUCUUCCCACAGCUCCAGCAGACCCCUCUCGGGCGUUGCUGGAACGAGGGUGCUGCCAAGGGAACCUGUGCUGGCGUGGGACAGCUUGCAGCGACAUGUCCUGCUUGGCCACAUUUAAAGCAAGCCAUUGCACUGGUCAGGGUAUGAACAGCUGCUUGGAUGGGUGUCAGCUGUUCCUCCUUCACAACGUGUUUGAUCGUGUCAGCCAAGUUAGCCCCGGCUGGCAGCGAGCGCAGUAUCUCUUUGGUAACAGUGUUACACUGCUGCCGCAGGCAAUCAAACACUACAGGACCUCUUGCCGCUGGGGGCAAGGUGGAGGAGUCUACCGCAGCCUGCAAGCGGUCUACGAAUUUUGUAAAGCUUUCACUCUCCCCUUGCUUAAUGGUGGGCCACGGUGUCGGUGUGUUCACCACCCUAGAGGCGGCGCGUAUGGCCUCCCUGGCCGCCCGAGAUGUGGCCCUAACUUCCUCAGCCCGGAGGUGCGCAGCUUGCUGCUGUGGGGUAGCCACUUCGUCAUGUUUCCCCAACAGCCGGGACAAGCUGGACCCGUGGAGUGGCUGUCCCUCUCCAGACGCCCGCGCUAGUUCGGCUGCACAAUGAUCUGUCCAUUCCUGCUUAAAAACGAUCCGCCCCGCUCCGUCAAAAAACAUGCGGCUUGCUUGCGCAAUAUCAAAAGGAAGCAGAUCGUCAUUGCUAAAAAGGCCGUCCACGAGCGUGGAAACUACCGCUGAAUUGAUUCCUUUCUCUGAAAUAGCCUUAACAAUCGCCUGAACUUCUUUGGGGUUUACCGGAGUGUAUGUUCUUUGCUGGUUUCCCUGGGCUCCCGUGACCCUUACGGGAAAGGCGUGCACCGUUUCCGCGGGUUUCCAGUCAGCACAAGCUAUUUUUAUUUUUCCCCAGUCAGUGAGCUCGUACUGUGGCUGAUUCCCGGUUUUAUUUUUAGCUUUAUUCGGUUUCGUCCGAAACCGCAUUAAUUCUGUUCUCUCCGCGUCCGAGUCGCUGCCGGUUUCGGAGCAGUCUGGGGAGCUCUGGCUCCACUCAGAGUCGGAAGUAAACUGCUGACAGACUUCCGGUCCUCCCUGCCUUUUCGUUCGGCUCCGGCCCCGCUCCUCCCCUCGGGGGCGGUGCCGCUCCCGCCCCCUGGGCUUGCCCUGCCUCCCGCUGGGCGGGAUCUCCCCCUUAUAUGGUGGUGGCACGGGGCGCGGCUCCCAAGCGAGCGUCCGCCCCCCGCCGCCUCCCCGCGCAGGCGCGUUUGCCAGGGUCUGCAGCCCCUGACGGGACGCGCGCUCCGCGCUGGCCUCCCGCGCAUGCGUUUCCGCGUCUGUCUUUGUUCGCGGGCUUUUCGCGGCGUGGUCCCGCUGACUCCGCCCCUCCCCGGCUCGCCCGCGCCAUUUUCAAACGAAUAUGGCGGUGGGAACGGCGCCGCCGCUCCCGGCGCGCCCGCGCCCGCUGCCGUUUCGGCACCCCGGGCCGCGUCUGCGAGCUCUCCCCAGAAAGACCGCGCGCGUUGUUCCGCCGUUUGCAUCGGAUCGGCGACCGGCGGGGAAGGGACCGAAGGGGAAACCGCGGUUUUUCCGGGAGAUUCUGAGGGGGGGGAUUUCGGACUCGGCGGGUCCCGCGGAAGGGCAGGGGGGUACCCUGAGGGUUCCGGGGCAUCUGGGCUCGGGCACGGGGAGGGAUGGAACGCGCCCGGCCCCCGCGUGAUCUCUUUUUCGGUCGGCUCGCUUUCGGGGCUGGUCUGUGUCGCCGCACCCACCCCCAACUUCGGUACGGCUAAUAAACGCGACCGCGCGGCCUCCCACGUCUCGUGUUCUUCUAAUGCUUGGCGUAGGGCGAUUUCUACCUUACCCCACGCCUUCAGGCUUUUUCCACUGCCUGUGGAUUUAGUAUCCUCUGCCAAGGAGGCAGUGCAUUUAUCCCAAACCUCCGAAUGUAAUAUAUCUACGGGCCGUGAAAUAGCUCCAAGCUCUAGGAGUCUUGUCACAGCAAGGGUAAAAUUCCUGAGCUCACAUUUAAUUCCCCAUUGUGUAUGCAUCGAACUUACGACCUUCGCUAUCGCCUCCAUUCGGCUCGCAGGUCCUGGGGCGUCCCCCUUCUCUCGCCACAGUCGUUCCAGCCGCUGUGGCCGCUGUCUCUGUCCAGGAGAAUCCCGUCACCCGCGGAGACGAUUCCCGGGUUUCGGCACCACUUGUAGCGGGAUGAAGCUUCUGGUUUCUGUUACCUGAAUGACGCUGUCUUGGGGAUCCUGCGACUGCGCCAGAAAUUUGACCGCAUCCUUUAUAUUGAUUUGGAUUUGCAUCAUGGGGAUGGAGUUGAGGAUGCCUUUAGUUUCACCUCG